AAGGAAAAGCCGAUGGGGCAUUUUCUGUAGAACUACAUCCUUGCAAAUGCCACACAGGGUAACUGUGUGGUUUCCUGUCCUCACAUAACGACAUGUCAGAUCUGUGGGAAAGAACUACAAGGCAGAG
ensembl:snoRNA